rnacentral:lncRNA from 1 species
UUAUUCCAAGAAUAUCUUGGUAAUUUUGAGCUCCACAUCCCGGUUAUUAAGUAUCAUAUAUAACUGUCUACAGAGAGAGAGAGAGAGAGAGAGAGAGAGAGAGAGAGAGAGAGAGAGAGAGAGAGAGAGAGAGAGAGAGAGAGAGAGACAGACAGACAGACAGACAGAGAGAGACAGAGAGAGACAGAGACUGCACUGUUUCCUUUCUCUUCUGUUUUCCUGUUGUUGGCAUCUUGAUCUGAUGUCGUCUCUCCACCUGCCUGUCAGUCUGUAUGUCUGUAUUUCUUCUUCCUUUACUUGCUGUUCAUUGUGACUGUGAUGGAUUUCAGGACUGUUGUGACCAUCUUAACUCUUUUACUCAUGACUGCUGAAUCAGAACAAACAACACUUGGGCCAAACAUCACAGAGACUACCUUCCCUACACAGACUCACAGCACCGGCAGGGACUGGGUCACCCCCAAUACUACUGCCACUGCUGGCAUCACCUCCAAUCCCAGCAGCUCUGCACCUGCCAUGGGCCUCCUCAUAAUCAGAUGGACGAGUGAAUGUGAAGGAGACGUUAACCUGAUCCUCUAUCAUCGCCCUGAUUCCUCCUCUCCUGUCUGUUAUGGCAGUGAAACCAACAUCAUGAUUAUUUUAAGAAAUGUGUGUGAAAAUCAUGAAGGUUGUACAGAAACAUCGAGCUGGGACAGAGGCAGAGAACAGCUGGAUGGCUAUGACAUCACAGAGAGGGGAGCAAAGGAGAGGAGAUGUGAGAUACUGAGGGUCCGAUGCACAGUUGCGGGAGAUGUACAGGGGCAGCUUCAUGCCUACAAAGUGGUGACAGCUUUGGUCUGCUGCGUGCUGCUGGUCCUGUUACUGAUCCGCUUCACCAGACCCACCGUCAAAGCCCUGCAGAAGAGACUAUCAGAAAGGAGGCAGAAUCGCUGGAUUGGACCUACACAGAGUCACAGUGUGUCUUACCAUCGCGGAAAAACUGCAGUUAAAAUCAAUGACGAAGAGAAGAGACUUUCCUACCCUGCUCUGGAGCGACUGGCAGUCAGUGAAAGCAGAGAGCCUUCAUCUAACAGGAACAGUGAUUACAACUUCUGACAUGCCUCUUCUUCUUGCAUAGUCAUCAUCAUCAUCAUCAUCAUCAUCAUCAUCAUCAUCAUCAUCAUCAUCAUCAUUUUAUAUGUGGGCUAAACAUAUGUUCAUAUUUGACUAUUUCCAAAGUGUAUCUUUGACAAUAUAUCACCCAUGUUAGGUUGAGGAAUUACUUAUAAAGACAUAAUUCAAGAUCAGGUGAAAUUGAUAAUUCACUUUUGAUAUACAUGCAUUUGCUGCAUCACAUACAAAAACUUCUGCUUUAAAAAAUAGUCAGUUUUUCCAACCAUCAAUGUGUGGUAUUGCAUCUAAACUCAAUUUAGCAGCCUUUUUUAUAAAUGAAAAUAGAAAUGUGUUUUUUUACUUUUAGCUAGGCUACCAGUUUUGUCUUAGUGCUAAGCUAGACAAAACACAUUUCAAUAAAACAGAGUAACUCACCACGUUUCCAAAAUGUUGAUUGGAUUGUAUUGAUCGGAAAAACAUUCAUGAAAAAACUCUGAGAAUAUUGAUUCAAUAACAUAUAAUUCACUGACAUUGUGACAUACGUUUUGUGUCUUUUGUUGACUGUUUGUGAUUUUUGAUUAAUAUUGUGAAGUUUUUGUUUUCAGUAAAAUUAUAUAAAUUG